GAAUUCGGCAAAAAUUUAUAUUCACUUGUUUAUCAAAAACAUGUCUUUUUGUUAAUAAUUUAAAGUCUAAUCUGCCCACUGAUGUAAUAUUGAAGGGCUGCAGUAUUUUGACUGUACAAAGGUAGCAUAAUCAUUAGUCUCUUAAUUGGUGACUUGUAUGAAGGAUUGGAUGAGAUAUAAGCUGUCUUGAUAAUAUUUAAUUGAAUUUAAUUUUUUAUUUAAAAAGUUAAAAUAAUUUAAAAAGACGAGAAGACCCUAUAGAGUUUUAUAUUAAAUUAAAUUAAAAUUAUUUAUAUAAUUAUUAAUAUAGAUUUAAUUUUAGUAUUUUGUUGGGGUGACAAAAAAAUAAAUAAAACUUUUUUUAUUAUUUACAUAAAUAAAUGAAUUUUUGAUCCAAUUUUAUUGAUUAAAAGAAAAAAUUACCUUAGGGAUAACAGCGUAAUUUUUUUUUUUAGUUCUUAUAAGAAAAAAAGUUUGCGACCUCGAUGUUGGAUUAAGAUAAAAUUUAAAUGCAAAAGUUUAAAAUUUUUGAUCUGGUCGAUCAUUAAAAUCUUACAUGAUCUGAGUUCAAACCGGUGUAAGCCAGGUUGGUUUCUAUCUUUUAAAAAUUUUAAUAUUUUAGUACGAAAGGAUUGAAUAUUAUAAUUAAAUUAAAAUAUUAGGAAUUUUAUUAAUUUUUUUUAUUCAAGUAAAAAAUUAAAAUGGAAAGGCUAUUUUGGCAGA
rnacentral:rRNA from 1 species